rnacentral:misc_RNA from 1 species
UACGUAGGGGGCGAGCGUUGUCCGGAAUUAUUGGGCGUAAAGAGCUCGUAGGCGGCCCGUUAAGUCGAAUGUGAAAUCUCACGGCUCAACCGUGAAAUUGCAUCCGAUACUGACGGGCUUGAGGCAGGUAGAGGAAGGUGGAAUUCCUGGUGUAGCGGUGAAAUGCGCAGAUAUCAGGAGGAACACCGGUGGCGAAGGCGGCCUUCUGGGCCUGAUCUGACGCUGAGGAGCGAAAGCGUGGGGAGCAAACAGG